rnacentral:lncRNA from 1 species
CCCACUCUACCGACUCCCAUGGCAAGGGCCUCAACCGACUAGCUGAGCACCAAACGUGGCUGCCAUGCCAUUCUGACAGACCACGUUAGGUUACGUCACUUAGAUGCCAUACCUGACUGGCUGCGCGUCAUGAUGCGAUGUUAUGGAUUCAUUAAUUGCAACCAUAUGGUCAUUUAUUACGUCCCAUGCGUAGUAGCAUCUACCUACGAUCAUGUGCGUGUCG